rnacentral:snRNA from 1 species
UAAAAUAUUCGAAUAUUUUCGGAU